rnacentral:lncRNA from 1 species
GGGAAAGGUCGGGGAGACCAAGGCGUCUCUAUCAUAGCCCUGAUCUGACACUGUGUUCUUGCAUGAGGCUCAGCUACUCACUGUGUUCUUGCGUGAGUCUCCUGGCUGUUAGGAAUUCUGCUGCUCAAGUGGAAAAAACAGAUUGCAAAGUACUUCAUAGAUCACCCUGUACUGAGUAUGGCAAACUGAUCAACAGCCUACUUACUGCUACAUUUAUAUUAUUUAAAAUAACUGCCAGGUCUAUCUGAAUGAUGAUGUAAGAAGACCACUGUUCUAGAUUUUAAGAACAAAAGCUUUGCUGCCUUGAACCCCCAAAUAAUUGCUCAAAUUCAAACUGGUUGUUAGCUUUUUUAAAAGCUCAGCUGAUUCCGCAGGAUGUUGUGGCUGUGAACUGGGAAGCCUGCCAUGCUAUUAUUUUGAAAAGUGCUGUGCAAACAGUGUUCCUCUCAGAUGGUUUCCAGAGUUAGUUCCUUACAAGCAUUUCCUCUUGAAACAUCGGGAAUCUAAAUAAAGAGAAAGGUGUCUAAUGGUCUAGUCUACCAACUUCACUAUGCUGAUUUAUGAAAGAAUUGCUGAAACCCAGUGAAUAAUAGCAUUUGCCCUUCUUUCUCAAAAAAGCAGCAUUUGCUUUCUUCUGGCAAGGAAUAAUUAAGCUAAUUUCUCCAUGAACCUUGGAAAAAGUGGCAACGAAUAAUGGAUUUGUCCCUCAAAGAACAUUUCAAGCAAACAUCUUAUCAGCUACAAAUUCAUUUGAGGCAGUUCCAGGUCAGCCACAGGCAAUUUUUCUCAUUAAAAUACUGUUUAAACUGUUGUAUCCAGAUGACACAGGAGACAUAUCAGACAAACAACACCUGCAAGAAGAAUUGGUGAAGUAUUGACUUUUCAUCAAUCAAAAAGUUUACUAAGCAGAUGAAAAUAAUUUGCCUUCACAGUGACAUUUUCCUGACGUCUUGCUAGUACUUAAAGGCAUUGUUUUUUCUUUAACACCCAAACUUUAAUUACCAGAAAAGGUUAGCAUCAAAACAAAGGACAUGUUGGUAAUUUAGAGGCCAUAUCAGAAAAAUAAAUUCAUUUUGGUUUGAAUGAA